CGGCGACAUUACAAUGAAAUCCCAGUUCCCGUAUGAUCAACGAAGUUAAGCAACGAGGAGCCUUGUCAGUACCUAGAUUGGUGACCCCUUGGGAAUACCAGGUGCUGUA